rnacentral:misc_RNA from 1 species
GUUUCCUAAUAGGUCAGUGCCAACCCUUCUAUUACUAAUUACAACAGUUUUCGAUUUCCCAGUUAUAUCUGUACUGUAGUCUCUGUGUUUAUAUACGAGUGCACUUAUAUCUGAAUGUUACUGCCAAGGAUUAAAGAAAAAUGAUGAUUCAAUUUGUUUACGACGCCUGCCCUGGAUUGAAAGUUGAUUAAACUGUAAUUGGAAUUGAGAAUGAUAUUUACUAAUGAAGGUGUAAACACAAUUGGUCAUGGUUACCAAACCAAUGAACAAUGUGCUAAGAGCGUAAAAUUUUGCUGAAGAAUUGCUUAUGCUAUUUGGGAAAAUGAGGAAGAGAGGUGUAUGUAACGAUUCUGCAAUGUGGAUAAGGAUGGUUGUCUGCUAUUUAUAUAUGCUAAUCAAUGAUUCCAUUGUAUGGGUAAU